UAAAAAUAAGCGUGGGUUGGCUAGCUCUGUCGACAAUGUUUUGUCCAAGGAAAAGACCAUAUUCUGUCAUUGUGUCUGAAAAUGAAAGCAUAAACGAAAAAGUGAAAUGCUUUUGUCCUAUGAGAGAGUUAACACACCUACCAGUUAAUAAAAGUCAUGAAAUUUUUGAUAGAGCAACCAACCAUGAAGCAAUGGAAACUAAUAUUUGCAGUAAUAAUAAUACAGAAACGGAAUGUGACAGAAAUCCUCAGACCUUACCAGUCAAACAACAUAAUUGUCGACAGUGUUUAGCUGGACAAGGGGGUCAUUUCAUGCAUUUAUCAUCAGAUGGUAACAAUAACAGGUGACACGAAGAUAAUACAGUCAAGUUUCAAGGAUCUCUUAGAACAGAUGUCUCAAAUAUUGUGUUCUUUUAUCCUGUAUAGUGUGAUCAGAGGCACAUGUCUCAGGAAUGAGUUCUGUACAUUUGUAUUUAGUUACACUGUGUUGUCAGUAAAGACUACUUAAGAUUUGUCCCACGUAGUAUGUAAUGUACUUGUCAGCAGUUCAGUAUUUAAAAUGGUCAGCUGCACUGGUCAAUAGAUAAAAAUCUGUUUGCUACUAAUAUCUAGUUUCCAGAACAAAAAAAUACUUUCUUGCAGUCAAACAAGGUUUGUUCAUCAAGACAUUCAUUUCUUUUGUCCUGUCUUGACAAAGUCAUGAAAGCGAGACAAAGGUUUGUUGUUUCCCAGGACAGUAGUGUCAACAGUGUAUGCGAUUAGGUCAGUUUUAGGGAAACCACAAGUUUCAGGUCAAUGAUAAUUGGUAUGCAGUUGUGUUAGCAUUGGCACAUCUCAUUUUCAUGGAGAUGAUAUGACCCCGCCCCCCUCAAGAAUAGUCUAUUGACUUUGAAAAUUUUGCUUAGUUUACAUGUUUAAAGUUUGUGAUUAGGUCAGUUUAUGGGAACCACUAUUGGUCAAUGGCAUUUGGUAUGCAGUUGUAUUAACAUUUGCACAUAUCAUAUCCAGGGCCUGCUCCCUCUGUCAUGGUCUGUUGAAUUUGAAUGUUUUGCAUAGAUUAGUUUACAUGUUAAAGUGAGUGAUAAUAUAUAGGUCAGUUUAAAAUGAAACUUUAUUAGUAAGUCCAUGGUAUUUGCAAAUGAUCACAGACACGUCUCAGGAGCUUGUUUUGUUAACACUGCCCAUUUCCAUUGAGACUAAAUGGCCAGCCCAAUCAGUCAUGGUUCAUGGACAUUGAAACAUUUGCAUACUUUCAAUGUUAAAGUUAAUGUGGUCAUAUGGUUUCUGGUGGAGAGUUGUCUCAUUGGCAGUCAUACCACAUCUUUUUAUUUUGAUAUAAGGAAAUGUUUAGUGACUGCAAGCAAAGUGUCUAAAAACUAAAAGUAUUUAAUUUACUACAAUGGAAAUUAAUCAAAAUUGACUGAAAGACUGGAAAGACCAAAUUUGUCAUUUCAGUUCUAAUUAUUUGGGCUUGUUCUAUAUUUACCGUACUCUCAAAAAGAUUUUAAUUUUUGCCAUUUUCCUACUGUGUAGAAUGGGGCGCAUAUAUUUGCCGUUUUAUGAUUUUGAGGUGUAGAAACUUCAAAGGAUUGCUGAAAUGGAAGAAAUAUGCUGGUAAAUUAUAUUUUUAUAACAUAAAGGAUAAUUUUUUAAACUUAGAAAAAAUUUCGGCACUUACCGCAAAGGACCGAAAAACGGACAACGAUUUUCGGCCAAUUUCCUAAAUGAAAAAAAAGAUUUCAAAGAAGUAUUUCUUAGUAAUUCUUUGACUGAUUGCCCUAAAUUUCAGUUCUUUACAUCUUUGAAAUGUCUGCUAUUCAUCUAUAAGGAAAUUGAUUUGAUAAAUAUUGUUUAAUGCUGCAGUUAUUUGGUUUUAAAUAGAUGUGUAAAAACGGCGUAUAUCUGUCCCCCUAUGACAAUCAUCAGGAAAUUUCAAAUAGCCUUUAAUCUAAUUUUUCAGAUGAAUUUUUUCAGAGAAACACGUUUUCAAGCGAAGAAUAGUUUGCUUUUGAUGUUAUCUUCAUAUAGAAAUAUCAGUAUACUUCAAAACUUAAAGAUCUGAACAUAAACUGCAGAAAACAUGGAAAAUUAUGGCAAAAUGAGCACCCCACUCUAUGAAGUUUUUGACAGAAUUUUUUUACCAUAUGAAAAUUCAUUAUUUGGAGAACUGCUAUAUAUAUAUACAUUCAAACUAGCAGUCAUAUAAGGUAAAAAUAAAAAAAGCAAAUCUCAUGUCGUCAUAAAAUUUGAUUUUUGUAGUUUAUAAUGUUUAUUUGUCACUAAAUUCCAAUGGUUCAGCAUAUUAAGAUUGAAAUAUAAUUUUUGACAAGUACCGUUUGAUUUUUUAAUUUACAGUCAGAAACAAGCAAUGCCUAUUUGUGUCUUGGUUGGAGUUGGUUCACAUGUAAUAACCCUCCAUUUUGCUAAAUAUAAGUAAUAGAUAUGAAAGAAGAUGUCAAGUAAAGGUCAAGGAUGUAAAAAAUUAUAUAUUUAAUUUACAUCAUGUUUAAUAACACUGCUGACUUCAAAUAAUUCAAAAUAAGAUACAUGUAGAAUGAACUUAAUUGUUUGAAUGAUUGUAAUUGACCAUGGAAUUAUCUCCCCUUAGCAAAAAAUUAUAUAUGUAGUACUACAAUUAUAGCCUAUGCUGUAAAACAGUGAAUAACUUAAAACAAGAAUUUUAUUCUAUACAAAUCGUUGCUAAAACCAACUUAGGAAUUGGCUUGUUAUGUUAACAGAAGUUGUUUUGUCUUUAUAUAUUUUUUUAAAAGAAUAUUUUUGUGAACAGGUACAAUUAUCGGUACGGUCGAAACAUGCAAAUCUGAUGUAUCCUGAGUUAGGGAGAUUUAAUUCAAAUGAAGGAGUCAUUCUCAAAAUAAAAGCAUGGUAGUGUGGGAAACAGGUUACAUAUACAUUUUGAGCAGACUUUUUAUUGUUACUUUUCAUAGAUAGUGAUGUUGUAAAGAUUUUUAUAUGCAAAUUGAUUUUGAAUUCAUUAAUAGCAAAUACUGAAAAAUAGUAUUCAGCAAUUCAGAAGUUUUAUAUGUUUAUUUUGUAAUUUUUUUAAAUUGCUUGAAUAAGUCAGAUUUUUUACAUGUACUGAUGUAUUGAUUUUACAUACAUGACAUUUGUUUUAUCCAAUUGAUAAAUUUGGCAGAUAAAAAUGCAAGAUUUUUUUAGCAGAAAUGAAUUGUUUAAUGCCUUUUUAGCUCACCGUUCCAAAGGAAUAGUGAGCUUUUGCCAUCACUUGGCGUCCGUCAUCGUCUGUCGUCGUCCGUCUGGGGUAAACUAUUUCAAACAUCAUCUCCUCUGAAACAACUAAACCAAUUCCAAACAAACUUUAGCUGAAUGAUGCUUAGGGUAUCUAGAAUAAAGUUUGUGUUUUAUUUACUGUUUCGUCAAAUAACAUGGCUGCCAUGGCUAAAAAUAGAAUGUAGGGGUAAAAUGCAAUUUUUGGCUUAUAUCUCAAAAACCAAAGCAUUUAGAUCUAAUCUGAUGAGAGGUAAAAAUGUUUAUUAGGCCAAGCUCUGUCAGCCCUGAAAUUUUCAGAUGAAUCUUAUAACACAUUGUUGGAUUGCUGCCACUUAAUUGGUAAUUUUAAGGAAAUUUUGCAGAUUUUGGUUAUUAUCUUGAAUAUUAUUAAUGAUUAAGAUAAACUGUAAACAGCAAAAAUGUUCAGCAAAGUAAGAUCUACAAAUAAGUUUGAUGACCAAAAUUGUUAAUUGUCCCCUUAAGGAGUUAUUGCCCUUUAAAAUCAAUUUUUCACAAUUUGUUCGUUUAGUUUGCUUACUUUAAAAAAAUCUUCUCCUUUGAAACUGCUGAAUCAAUUUCAGCCAAACUUGGGCUGAAUGAGUUUCAGAGUAUCUAGUAUAAAUUUUGUAUUUUAUUUUCUUGUACGUCAAGAAACAUAGCCACGAUGGCUGAAAUGAAACAUAGGGGUAAAAUGCAUUUCUUUGAUUUUGAAGAAAAUAUGACAGAUACAAAGAACAUUUCAAUGGAAGUUUUAAGCCAUUCAUUAAUAUAUAUUGAAAAGCAAAAAUAAUCAUUGAUGAAAGAUUUAAGCAAAAAAUUACAUGUGAGUGAUUCAGGCUCUUGAGAGCCUCUUGUUUUAAUUGCAUUUGCAAAAAUAAUUUAAUGCAACAGUUUGUGUAGUAUAUGUGCAUAAUUUUAAAAUAGAAUAUAUUACAAAACUGGUA